GGGUUUGGGAUUUGUUUUGCGAGAGGAAGUUGCCGUUAAACGGUGGAUGUUAGCUAAACAUCGUGGUUUUAAGUGAUUUCAUAGUUUCACAUGAUUUCCUGUAUGCAAGGCUAUAGAACAUCAACAUACCGAUAAAUAUUCUUUCUCAUGAGGAAGUUAUUAUGAAAGAAGGAAGAGUUUAUUUGGAAUAAAUAGGCUUAUCCUCUAUCUCAAAAAUCAAACCUGGGGAUGUUUUUACGUACGAUAGUAGAGAUAUACUUUUUCCUCCACACAAUUUAGCAUCGCCGAAACUUAAAUUCUUCAAAUAAGCAAGAUGGCAGAGGCUGUAGUAACGUCACAACCGGAAGUGGCUGUUUCCCCCAGUAACGUGCCGGUGUGUGAAAAGAAAGAGCUAAAAUAAAAAGAGGAAAGACGCCGCCGUGUUUGCAAUCAAAGAGCAAAAGAAGAGGAAAAACGUUAACGUGUAUGACACAAGUGACGAUAGCUGCCUUUUGUGCCUCGCAUGCUGCUGCUUCUGCGGUGCGGACAGCGAAAGUGGAGGAGGAAACGACGGGUGUUGUGAUUGCGGAGACAGCAAUUGCUGCGAUUUUGGGGGAUGUGAUUGCGGAGACAACAAUUGCUGUGUUGUGAUUGCGGAGACAGUCAUUGCUGUGAUUGCGGGUACUGUGUGGGGGGGGAUUAGGUGGUUCAGAUUGAUUUGGAUGAGACAAAGAAGAGGUGUUAAUAUUUGAUUUCGCUCGCUGCUUUGGCCAGGGUGCAUUCAGACAUAUGUAUAAAAAGGUUCUGACGUAUGUUUAUUAUGUUUUGGACAUUUAUAAUCAAGCAAACCUGACAUUAUGAGUUUAUAGUAAAUUUAUGAGUGGUUGCUGUACACCGACAGAAACACUCCUAAGCAUAUUAAGAGUUUAAACUUAUAUUUCACAAAAUAGUUGACUUAUUAUAAUAAUUUAAUACAUAUAACGACAACGGUGAACACUUGGGCAAUGCCAACUUCGAACACAGUGACAUUUUGACACACUUUGUAGAGUUCCACCAUAUUAUGUUACUCACCAAAUAUUUAACACCUGACCGGUGUGUUUUCAAAUAAAGUGUCGUUAAUUAUUGAGUAUUUCAGUCUAUAUAGAUCUUGUAACCACUGGACCCCUUUGAAAUGUGCUCUGUUAUGUAUCUGCAUGCAUACCUUUAUGUACACUUAUUAGACCACCAUGCGCGUUGC